GAAGAUGAAGAGGGUGCAGACGCCAGAGGUUCAGAAAAUCCUCACUUUCUUGCUGCAAUUAUUGGUGCAUCUAUAUUCAUCACAAUAACUGGAGUUAUCCUUGGAUUUAUCUGCCGAAAAGUUCACCACAGAAGACAAUCCGAACCGCUGACAAGUCAGGCGAACACGGAGCCAGAAGAAAUUGAGCCGUACAGCACCUACAUACAGAGAGAGAACAGCCUUUAUUCAACAGUCAGAAUGCACUAAUUUAACCAUUUUUAAUCAGAUGUGACACAAUUUCAGGAUGUUUUUGUAGAGAUUUUAUUAUAUAACUUACUCCAAAGUGAUGCAUAUUCUUUGGAAUAAUUUUAAAAGUACUAAUAUCUCACUCUGAAAAUACUCCUGAUUGAAAAUCCCACUUAAGUUAAAUUAUUGACAUAUAAUUAGCAGAAUUAAAUUACAGUAUUUAAAGGGAAAUUACUCAAUGUAGAACAAUGGCAACUUGCAAUUCAUUUUCUGUCUAUUGACUAAUUAAUUAAUCAUUUCAGCUGUACUUUGGUGUUUUGCCGGGUAGUUUAAUUUAUGAUGAAGCAUGACAUUUUAUAAGCUCUUUGUUUAAACAAAAAUCUGAAUUUGUACAGUAGUUGCUAAUGCUGUCACAUAAUUUUAUUGGAGUAAAAAGUACAGUAUUUGCCUCUAAAAUGUAGUGGAGUAUAAGUGGAAAGUAGCAUGAAAAGAAAAGACUCAAGUACC